rnacentral:rRNA from 1 species
CAGUCGACGAGACCUUCGGGUCUAGUGGCGCACGGGUGCGUAACGCGUGGGAAUCUGCCCUUGGGUUCGGAAUAACUCAGAGAAAUUUGAGCUAAUACCGGAUGAUGACGUAAGUCCAAAGAUUUAUCGCCCAGGGAUGAGCCCGCGUAGGAUUAGCUUGUUGGUGAGGUAAAGGCUCACCAAGGCGACGAUCCUUAGCUGGUCUGAGAGGAUGAUCAGCCACACUGGGACUGAGACACGGCCCAGACUCCUACGGGAGGCAGCAGUGGGGAAUAUUGGACAAUGGGCGAAAGCCUGAUCCAGCAAUGCCGCGUGAGUGAUGAAGGCCUUAGGGUUGUAAAGCUCUUUUACCCGGGAUGAUAAUGACAGUACCGGGAGAAUAAGCUCCGGCUAACUCCGUGCCAGCAGCCGCGGUAAUACGGAGGGAGCUAGCGUUGUUCGGAAUUACUGGGCGUAAAGCGCACGUAGGCGGCUUUGUAAGUUAGAGGUGAAAGCCUGGAGCUCAACUCCAGAACUGCCUUUAAGACUGCAUCGCUUGAAUCCUGGAGAGGUGAGUGGAAUUCCGAGUGUAGAGGUGAAAUUCGUAGAUAUUCGGAAGAACACCAGUGGCGAAGGCGGCUCACUGGACAGGUAUUGACGCUGAGGUGCG